rnacentral:rRNA from 1 species
GAUGAACGCUGGCGGCGUGCCUAAUACAUGCAAGUCGAGCGAACGGACGAGAAGCUUGCUUCUCUGAUGUUAGCGGCGGACGGGUGAGUAACACGUGGAUAACCUACCUAUAAGACUGGGAUAACUUCGGGAAACCGGAGCUAAUACCGGAUGAUAUUUUGAACCGCAUGGUUCAAAAGUGAAAGACGGUCUUGCUGUCUCUUAUAGAUGGAUCCGCGCUGCAUUAGCUAGUUGGUAAGUUAACGGCUUACCAAGGCAACGAUGCAUAGCCGACCUGAGAGGGGGAUCGGCCACACUGGAGCUGAGACACGGUCCAGACUCCUACGGGAGGCAGCAGUAGGGAAUCUUCCGCAAUGGGCGAAAGCCUGACGGAGCAACGCCGCGUGAGUGAUGAAGGUCUUCGGAUCGUAAAACUCUGUUAUUAGGGAAGAACAUAUGUGUAAGUAACUGUGCACAUCUUGACGGUACCUAAUCAGAAAGCCACGGCUAACUACGUG